rnacentral:rRNA from 1 species
UACGGGAGGCAGCAGUGGGGAAUAUUGCACAAUGGGCGCAAGCCUGAUGCAGCCAUGCCGCGUGUAUGAAAAGGCCUUCGGGUUGUAAAGUACUUUCAGUCGUGAGGAAGGUGUUAAGGUUAAUAACCUUAGCAAUUGACGUUAGCGACAGAAGAAGCACCGGCUAACUCCGUGCCAGCAGCCGCGGUAAUACGGAGGGUGCGAGCGUUAAUCGGAAUUACUGGGCGUAAAGGGCACGCAGGCGGUUAAUUAAGUUGGAUGUGAAAUCCCCGGGCUUAACCUGGGAAUGGCAUUCAAGACUGGUUAGCUAGAGUCUUGUAGAGGGGGUAGAAUUCCAUGUGUAGCGGUGAAAUGCGUAGAGAUGUGGAGGAAAUACCGGUGGCGAAGGCGGCCCCUGGACAAAGACUGACGCUCAUGUGCGAAAGCGUGGGGAGCAAACAGGGAUUAGAUACC